AUUGAACGCUGGCGGCAGGCCUAACACAUGCAAGUCGAACGAGUGGCGGACGGGUGAGUUAUGUCUUGGCAACUGCCUGAUGGAUGGGGAUAACUACUGGAAACGGUAGCUACUACCGCAUACCAUCAGAUGUGCCCAGAUGGGAUUAGCUUGUUGGUGGGGUAAAGGCUCACCAAGGCGACGAUCCCUAGCUGGUCUGAGAGGAUGACCAGACACACUGGAACUGAGACACGGUCCAGACGCCUACGGGAGGCAGCAGUGGGGAAUAUUGCACAAUGGGCGAAAGCCUGAUGCAGCCAUGCCGCGUGUAUGAAGAAGGCCUUCGGGUUGUAAAGUACUUUCAGCGGGGAGGCGUUACCCGCAGAAGAAGCACCGGCUAACUCCGUGCCAGCAGCCGCGGUAAUUC
rnacentral:rRNA from 1 species